rnacentral:RNase_P_RNA from 1 species
GUGAUGGGUCGCCCCACCGCGGCGCCAAACGCAAGAAUGGCGACGAGGAAAGUCCGGGCAACGCAGAGCACCCUGCUUCCUAACGGGAAGGACUGGCGCGUAUAAUGCAAACCAGGACAGCCAGUGCCACAGAAAACUACCGCCAGACGGUGACUGCGCGACAGAGUAGCUGAGCGAAUAAAAUCACUCAGUCAUUCAGCCACUCAGUCACUCGUGGUAAGGGUGAAAAGGUGCGGUAAGAGCGCACCAGUGGGCGGGUAACCGUCCCGGCUGGGUAAACCUCAGGGGUUGAAAGACCAAAUAAGCUGGUACGCCGGCGCGGCUUCGGCCGCAUCGGCACCGGGCGGCUCGUCCGGCGCCAGCGGGUAGGUUGAUGGAGCCUUUCCGCAAGGACUGGCCUAGAUAAAUGGUGGGGACGCGCCCUCGGGCGCGGACAAAACCCGGCUUAUAGACCCGUCACCAAU